rnacentral:rRNA from 1 species
CUGAGGAUACGGUUAACGGAGCGAAAGCGACGUUCAACCGCAAAACAAGCAGAGGGGGCUUAGUGGUGGGGUGACUGCGUACCUUUUGUAUAAUGGGUCAGCGACUUAUAUUCUGUAGCAAGGUUAACCGAAUAGGGGAGCCGGAGGGAAACCGAGUCUUAAUUGGGCGUUAAGUUGCAGGGUAUAGACCCGAAACCCGGUGAUCUAGCCAUGGGCAGGUUGAAGGUUGGGUAACACUAACUGGAGGACCGAACCGACUAAUGUUGAAAAAUUAGCGGAUGACCUGUGGCUGGGGGUGAAAGGCCAAUCAAACCGGGAGAUAGCUGGUUCUCCCCGAAAGCUAUUUAGGUAGCGCCUCGUGAAUUCAUCUCCGGGGGUAGAGCACUGUUUCGGCUAGGGGGCCAUCCCGGCUUACCAACCCGAUGCAAACUGCGAAUACCGGAGAAUGUUAUCACGGGAGACACACGGCGGGUGCUAACGUCCGUCGUGAAGAGGGAAACAACCCAGACCGCCAGCUAAGGUCCCAAAGUCAUGGUUAAGUGGGAAACGAUGUGGGAAGGCCCAGACAGCCAGGAUGUUGGCUUAGAAGCAGCCAUCAUUUAAAGAAAGCGUAAUAGCUCACUGGUCGAGUCGGCCUGCGCGGAAGAUGUAACGGGGCUAAACCAUGCACCGAAGCUGCGGCAGCGAACGUAUCACCCAAGACAACUUUACGGAGUUGACGAUUGACGGAGCGAAGCGACGUCAAAGCGUUCAUUAAAGUCGAGUUGGCUUAGGGAUACGUUCGUUGGGUAGGGGAGCGUUCUGUAAGCCUGUGAAGGUGUGUCGUGAGGCAUGCUGGAGGUAUCAGAAGUGCGAAUGCUGACAUAAGUAACGAUAAAGCGGGUGAAAAGCCCGCUCGCCGGAAGACCAAGGGUUCCUGUCCAACGUUAAUCGGGGCAGGGUGAGUCGACCCCUAAGGCGAGGCCGAAAGGCGUAGUCGAUGGGAAACGGGUUAAUAUUCCCGUACUUGGUGUUACUGCGAAGGGGGGACGGAGAAGGCUAUGUUGGCCGGGCGACGGUUGUCCCGGUUUAAGCGUGUAGGUGUGUGUUCCAGGUAAAUCCGGUUCACUUUAACACUGAGGCGUGACGACGAGGCACUACGGUGCUGAAGCAACAAAUGCCCUGCUUCCAGGAAAAGCCUCUAAGCAUCAGGUAACAUCAAAUCGUACCCCAAACCGACACAGGUGGUCAGGUAGAGAAUACCAAGGCGCUUGAGAGAACUCGGGUGAAGGAACUAGGCAAAAUGGUGCCGUAACUUCGGGAGAAGGCACGCUGACACGUAGGUGAAGUGAUUUACUCAUGGAGCUGAAGUCAGUCGAAGAUACCAGCUGGCUGCAACUGUUUAUUAAAAACACAGCACUGUGCAAACACGAAAGUGGA